ensembl:lncRNA
GCUGGUGUCCCUGGUCCGGGAUCCUCCCAUGUCCUGGGACUGAGAUGCUCCGACGUCCUCUGGACCAGGAUGCUCCGAUGUCCCUGGUCUGGGAUCCUCCGAUGUCCCUGGGCCAAGGUGCUCCGAUGUCCCUGGUCCAGGAUGCUCCGACAUCCUCUAGACCAGGAUGCUCCGCUGUCCCUGGGCCAGGAUCCUCCAUUGCUCCCCAGGAUGCUCCGAUUCCCCCCAGCCCAGGACGCUCCGGUGGCCCCGGAACCAAGAUGCUGCCAUGUCCCUGGACUGGGACACCGCGAUGUCCCCCGGCCCAGGACGCUCCGGUGUUCCCGUGCUGGGACGCUCCGAUGUCACCCAGACCAGAACGCUCCUCGGUUCCCUGGACCAGGAUACUCCAGUCUCCCCCAGACUGGGAUGCUCUGGUGUCCCUGAGCCGGGAUCCUCCCAUCUCCCUGGAGGAUGCUCCUUUGUCUCGGGACUGGGAUGCUCUGAUUUCCCCUGGUCCAGGAUGGUCUGGUGGCCCGGGGACCAGGAUGCUCCGAUGUCCCCGGGGCCGAGAUGCUCUGAUUUUCCCUGGGCUGGGAUGUUCUGAUGUCCCCGGAUCAGGGUACUCCGGUGUUCCCGGGAUGGGAUGCUCCUGUGUCCCCUGGACAGGGACAUUCCAGUGUCCCCCAGAGCGGGAUGCUCCGAUGUCUCUGGACCAGGAUGCUCCUUGGCCGCCGGACUUGGGGUGUCCCAGUGUCCCCCAGACCAGGAUGCUCUGAUUUUCCCUGGACUGGGAUGCCCCAGUGUCACCUGGAUGGGGAUGCAGGGGUGUUCCCAGGCCGGGAUGUCCCCAUGUCCCUGGACCAGGAUGCUCUGAUGUUCCCGAGACCGGGAUGCUCCGGUGUCCCCAGAGACAGGGAUGCUCCGAUGUCCCUGGACCGAGGUGCUGCGAUGUCCCCCGGAACGGGAUGCUCCUUUGUCCCUGGAUUGGGAUCCUCUGGUGUCACCUGGUCCGGGAUCCUCCGAUGUCCCCGGAUCAGGAUGCUCCGGUGUCCCCAGACAGGGACGCUCCGAUUUUCCCUGAUCCGGGGUGUUCUG